rnacentral:rRNA from 1 species
UACAGAGGGUGCGAGCGUUAAUCGGAAUUACUGGGCGUAAAGCGUGCGUAGACGGUUAUUUAAGUCAGGUGUGAAAUCCCCGGGCUUAACCUGGGAAUUGCGCUUGAAACUAGCGGGCUUGAGUGUGGCAGAGGGGGGGUGGAAUUCCACGUGUAGCAGUGAAAUGCGUAGAGAUGUGGAGGAACACCGAUGGCGAAGGCAGCCUUCUGGGCCAACACUGACGCUCAUGCACGAAAGCGUGGGGAGCAAACAGG